rnacentral:piRNA from 1 species
UCGGCACGUAGGUGGUUUGCCGCCCAC